rnacentral:rRNA from 1 species
CACGUAGGGGGCAAGCGUUGUCCGGAUUUAUUGGGCGUAAAGAGCUCGUAGGCGGCUUGGUAAGUCGGGUGUGAAACCUCCAGGCUCAACCUGGAGACGCCACUCGAUACUGCUAUGGCUAGAGUCCGGUAGGGGAGCGUGGAAUUCCUGGUGUAGCGGUGAAAUGCGUAGAUAUCAGGAGGAAUACCGAUGGCGAAGGCAGGUCUCUGGGCUGACACUGACGCUCAUGCACGAAAGCGUGGGGAGCAAACAGG